rnacentral:rRNA from 1 species
AACGAACGCUGGCGGCAUGCCUAACACAUGCAAGUCGAACGAGACCUUCGGGUCUAGUGGCGCACGGGUGCGUAACGCGUGGGAGCCUGCCCUUAGGUUCGGAAUAACUUCCCGAAAGGGAUGCUAAUACCGGAUAAUGUCUUCGGACCAAAGAUUUAUCGCCUUUGGAUGGGCCCGCGUAGGAUUAGCUAGUUGGUGGGGUAAUGGCCUACCAAGGCGACGAUCCUUAGCUGGUCUGAGAGGAAGAUCAGCCACACUGGGACUGAGACACGGCCCAGACUCCUACGGGAGGCAGCAGUGGGGAAUAUUGGACAAUGGGCGAAAGCCUGAUCCAGCAAUGCCGCGUGAGUGAUGAAGGCCUUAGGGUUGUAAAGCUCUUUUACCAGGGAUGAUAAUGACAGUACCUGGAGAAUAAGCUCCGGCUAACUCCGUGCCAGCAGCCGCGGUAAUACGGAGGGAGCUAGCGUUGUUCGGAAUUACUGGGCGUAAAGCGCACGUA